rnacentral:rRNA from 1 species
AACAUGUCUUUUUGAUUAUAAUAUAAAGUCUGACCUGCCCUAUGAAUAAGUUAAUUUUAAAUGGCUGCGGUACUCUGACCGUGCAAAGGUAGCAUAAUAAUUAGUUUUUUAAUUGGGAACUGGUAUGAAAGGUCGAACGAGAAAAAGACUGUCUCAAUUUAAUUUAAAUUAGAAUUUUAUUUUUAAGUAAAAAAGCUUAAAUAUUUUUAAAAGACGAGAAGACCCUAUAGAGUUUUAUAUAAUUUAUUAUUUUUGAAAGUUAAAGAAUUUUAGAUUUAAUUAUAAUAAAUUAUAUUUGGUUGGGGCAAUUAAAAAAUUAAAUUAAUUUUUUUUAAAUCAUACCAUUGAUAUAUGAUUAAGUGAUCCAUAAUUAAUGAUUAAAAGAUUAAAUUACCUUAGGGAUAACAGCGUAANUUUUUUUUAGAGUUCUUAUCGAAAAAAGAGUUUGCGACCUCGAUGUUGGAUUAAAAUUUACUUUUGGCGCAGCAMCUAAAAGGAUUAGGUCUGUUCGACCUUUAAAAUUUUACAUGA